UACGAAGGGGGCUAGCGUUGUUCGGAAUUACUGGGCGUAAAGCGCACGUAGGCGGAUUGUUAAGUCAGAGGUGAAAUCCCGGAGCUCAACUUCGGAACUGCCUUUGAUACUGGCAAUCUAGAGUCCGGAAGAGGUUAGUGGAAUUCCCAGUGUAGAGGUGAAAUUCGUAGAUAUUGGGAAGAACACCGGUGGCGAAGGCGGGUCUCUGGGCCGUAACUGACGCUGAGGAGCGAAAGCGUGGGGAGCGAACAGG
rnacentral:rRNA from 1 species